CCUCACCCACUCAAGCACCUCUUAAAUCCUCCCGCCUCGUCUUCCCGCUCCCCUGAUGGCCCCGGUUUCUUGGCUUCACGGCGAUUCAACUUUUACUUUUGGCUCAGGAAUUUAGGAGUAAUAAACGUGACCAAAUACGUCAGCGAGGGCCUGGAGGCGCGGCCUGGGAGGGAGGCGCGGCUGGUCAGGGAAUGCUUGCCGGCCCGCGCUCGCCCUCGCCCUCGUUCUUCGCCUUCCCUGAACCAAAGCUGCUCCUGCAAAGAUCUUCUUUUUUGAUGCAUUUCCCUCACAGUCCAUUUUGAAGACUGGACAAUUAAUUUUUACAGUAAAAGAAGCAGCUCAAGGACAAAAAUAAACAUAAAUAAAAAAGCCCGCUGCGCUUCCCUUGUAAAAUAAUUUAAAGAUGAAUGGUCUAAAGACUGGCCAAUUUCGGAACUACUAAUAUUUGUGGGCUUUCCGCUGGUAUAGUUUUUUUGUGUGUGGAAAAGUGGAGAUCCGGUGUGUAGUCUCUUGCGACCAACAGGUCUGAGGUGUGACCUGUACUCUAAAUAACACUGCGUUAUGUCACCACACUGUAUGGAAGUGCCCGAAGAACAGUGACCUGAGGUAGUAAGUGUAACCUCUUGCAACAUCAAGGUAAAGAGUUGAGGAGUAACUUGGAUAAGUGGUUUCCUUGCUCUUGCCUCACUCUUCACCUACCGUGAGUAACACUAAGAUAAAAACAAGGGUGAGCAGUAACCUGAUUUAAGGGCCUCCACGCGACCCCUCAUGACCUAAUCUCCCAAACAGUGAGGCAGGGCUCGCUGUGUAUGUUGAAUAGUGCCAUGAUGUCAUUUUCUCCUUAUUAUAGUUGUGUGUCCUUUGCAAGCCACCUGAUGAACUGCCGCAGGUCAGGACUAAUUUUGAGGCCCUCAGCAUCCAUAUAUCAAUGCAGGAUCAGUCAGUAGGAUAUUCAGAAAUCACUGAUACUCUAGAAACCAGAGAUCAGCGCAAAAUCACUCGAGGCUCCUUGAUAGCCACAGAAAACGCGGGAUUUAUGUUAAUGCUUCUAUUAACUAUUUUUCUUCUUCCUCCGUCAGGUAGCAGCCCCUGGGAAGAGCUGUGAUGGGCAUACCAUGCACGACCAUGAAGCACGGACCGCCACGGACGAAGGGUCGCCGACCACCCAAUUCAGCGAAGCAGCGGUAGGAGCAGCGGCGCCAGCGACAAGAAAAAAGCAAAACUUUUCGUCUGGAAGCAGUGAUCCCAAAACUCGUCCGUUUGGCAGCAGUGACAGGCGAGUCGGAGGUCAAUGAUCAAGCAUCUUCCCAGCACCCCGCGGGCCGCGCCUCAACAGGUCUCCAGCACCAUUUUGAGGCCAGCGAGUCCCCGCAUCCGCCACAAACCCCGCGUCAGCGAUAAAUGUACACCUGAAAAAAAAAAAUCCUACCAAAAUCAGCAGUUCCAUUACUUAUAUUAUCCGCACACCGGGCCCAGGGCGGUAAGGGGCAGAUGGCAUUCUCAGUGCUCCGUCAGGGCGGUCAGGAAUGCUCAGGACACAGCCCCUGGAGACACCUGGGGAAAGCCAGGUAGUUUAAGGGGGGAGGGAGAGGUCGGUGUUACGAUGCACUCGCUGGGAGGUCCUCAGACACGCCAGGAAUGCAUAUGAGGACUAGGCGGAGCCCCGCCAGCCCGCCAGGAGCCUGUGGCCUCUCCUCUGGCGUGUUUCUCCCGCGGCAGACGCAGUGUCGCAGGUCCGUCACAGGGUACAUGCACCUGCCACACUAGGGAUGCCCCACAGGCCCGGCCAGAGGAAAAGAGACUAGAGCGCCUUGUAACCCGCCAGGCCCCGCGCUGCGUUCCUCUCCGGUGAGUUGUUUGAACGGCCUGCACGCCACGCCACGCCGCCGCCACUCCCGCGUCAGUCCCUAGCACGCGUCAUACGCUCGUGGGACGAAAAAACGGCCUUCAUGUGAACAGGUAUUCUGAAAACAAACCCAGCUAGACGUGGCGCGGCCUCAGGAGGGAGCACUGGGCCAGGCCAAUCAUUGGCGGCAUACACGGUGUCCCUCGUUGCUCCAGGUGGUGGCGGGAGACGCGGGAGAGGCGGUGGCCGAGGGACGGAGAGGGGGAGGGAGAAGGUGCAGCCGAGGGAGGUAAUUGGUGGGAGGGGCGGCCACUGGUCCUCGUGCUGUUCCUAGAAGGGGACAAAGAGGGGCAGCAGCUGUUAGCCCUCCUGGUGGUCCCUGGCCCCUGCUGUCACUCCCUCUGUCGUCGCAGCCUCUGUAUGAGGUGUCCCUGGCCCGCAGGUCUUGCCGCCACCCACCCACUUACCCAACCCUCUUUACCUUUCUCAAAUCCUCUCGAAACGCUUACCUUUCCGCUCUCAUCACGCUUAUGGAAACUAAAAUGCCUCAAUAUCUCUACACCUUCUACAAAUCAUUGCAUACAUUUCGGUUACAUUUUCAUUACCGUUAUCUGAAUCAUCAUCGGCAUGAGUAC